rnacentral:rRNA from 1 species
GAGGAUGCUUUUGGUGAGGUGCCGCCCGAGUUCCCUGGAACGGGACGCCACAAAGGGUGAGAGCCCCGUCUGGCUGGCCGCCAAGCCUCUGUAAAGCUCCUUCGACGAGUCGAGUAGUUUGGGAAUGCUGCUCAAAAUGGGAGGUAUAUGUCUUCUAAAGCUAAAUAUUGGCCAGAGACCGAUAGCNCACAAGUAGAGUGAUCGAAAGAUGAAAAGCACCUUGAAAAGAGGGUUAAAUAGUACGUGAAAUUGUUGAAAGGGAAGCGCUUGGGACCAGACUUGGGCGCGGCGGAUCAUCCGGGGUUCUCUCCUGUGCACUUCGCCGCGUCUAGGCCACCAUCANUUCGUCNCGNGGGAAAAAGGCUUCNGGAACGUGGCUCCNCCGGGAGUGUUAUAGCCCGUUGCAUAAUACCCUGCGG